CGGCCCGCGUCGACGGAAAGUGACGAUUUAGGUGCGAGCGGUCACGUGUUUCUGGCUGGAGGUAGAGCACUGGAUGGUCUAGGGGGCCCACAAGCUUACCGAAAUCAACCAAACUCCGAAUGCCGGUCAGUGAGAGCGUGGCAGUGAGACAGUGGGGGCUAAGCUUCAUUGUCGAAAGGGAAACAGCCCAGAUCGCCGGUUAAGGUCCCUAAGCGUGUGCUAAGUGGGAAAGGAUGUGGAGUCGCCCAGACAACCAGGAGGUUGGCUUAGAAGCAGCCAUCCUUUAAAGAGUGCGUAAUAGCUCACUGGUCAAGUGGUUCCGCGCCGACAAUGUAGCGGGGCUCAAGCACACCACCGAAACCGCGGCAUUCAUGCGUAUAGCUCGGCCCUUCGGGGUCCAGGUGCAUGGAUGGGUAGGGGAGCGUCGUGUGGCGAGUGAAGCGGCGGAGUGAUCCAGCCGUGGACGCUACACGAGUGAGAAUGCAGGCAUGAGUAGCGAAUGGGGAGUGAGAAACUCCUCAACCG
rnacentral:sRNA from 1 species